rnacentral:rRNA from 1 species
UACGUAGGCAGCGAGCGUUGUUCGGAAUUACUGGGCGUAAAGCGAGUGUAGGUGGUUGUCCAAGUUGGAUGUGAAAGCCUUGAGCUCAACUCAAGAAAUGCAUUCAGGACUGGAUGGCUAGAGGACCGGAGAGGAUAGUGGAAUUCCCAGUGUAGUGGUGAAAUACGUAGAGAUUGGGAAGAACACCAGUGGCGAAGGCGGCUAUCUGGACGGUUUCUGACACUAAGACUCGAAAGCGUGGGGAGCAAACAGG